rnacentral:rRNA from 1 species
AUUGAACGCUGGCGGAAUGCUUUACACAUGCAAGUCGAACGGCAGCACGGACUUCGGUCUGGUGGCGAGUGGCGAACGGGUGAGUAAUGUAUCGGAACGUGCCCAGUCGUGGGGGAUAACGUAGUGAAAAUUACGCUAAUACCGCAUACGAUCUAUGGACGAAAGAGGGGGAUCGCAAGACCUCGCGCGAUUGGAGCGGCCGAUAUCAGAUUAGGUAGUUGGUGGGGUAAAGGCCCACCAAGCCAACGAUCUGUAGCUGGUCUGAGAGGACGACCAGCCACACUGGAACUGAGACACGGUCCAGACUCCUACGGGAGGCAGCAGUGGGGAAUUUUGGACAAUGGGCGAAAGCCUGAUCCAGCCACUCCGCGUGCAGGAUGAAGGCCCUCGGGUUGUAAACUGCUUUUGUACAGAACGAAAAGGUUUCUACUAAUACUAGGAGCUCAUGACGGUACUGUAAGAAUAAGCACCGGCUAACUACGUGCCAGCCGCCGCGGUAA